rnacentral:rRNA from 1 species
UGCCAGCAGCCGCGGUAAUACGUAGGGUGCAAGCGUUGUCCGGAUUUAUUGGGCGUAAAGAGCUCGUAGGCGGUUAGUCACGUCGGAUGUGAAAACCCGGAGCUUAACUCCGGGCCUGCAUUCGAUACGGGCUGACUCGAGUGUUGUAGGGGAGACUGGAACUCCUGGUGUAGCGGUGAAAUGCGCAGAUAUCAGGAAGAACACCGGUGGCGAAGGCGGGUCUCUGGGCAACUACUGACGCUGAGGAGCGAAAGCGUGGGGAGCAAACAGGAUUAGAUACCCUGGUAGUCCACGCCGUAAACGGUGGGCGCUAGGUGUGGGGAACAUUCCACGUUCUCCGUGCCGCAGCUAACGCAUUAAGCGCCCCGCCUGGGGAGUACGGCCGCAAGGCUAAAACUCAAAUGAAUUGGCGG